rnacentral:tRNA from 1 species
GUAGUAGCGUAGCUGGUUAACGCGUCAGUUUGUGGCACUGAAGAUCGAGGGUUCGAAUCCCUCCUAC